UCACAAUUCUGCAAUUCUAUUUUAGCUUUGGGAAUUUGACCUGAGAAUAUGGUAUCUUUUAGUAUAGUCACCAGCCUUUAGAUAAGAGCACGAUAUAAAAGGGAGGGAGGAGUUAAAAAAUAUUGGAUAUAUUGCUAUCUCCUUUUCUAUCAACUAUAGUUUUAUGCAUUUGUAGAAAGGAAGUGAUGUAUCUUGCCUAUGUAUUUGUGACUUUCAGUGUAUGGAAGCUUCAUUUGUUUACACUGAAUAUUAUGAGCAAGACUAUUCUGUUUAUAAAAGUUAAUCAGUACAGCUGUUUGUUAUGAUUCAUUCUGUGAAUGAAAAAUAAUACAGAAGGUAAUAAACAUAUGCUUCUACAUGUAUACAUACUGAUACUGAUCAAUAAGUAUGUCCUGUUACAAAACACAUUAUUCUUUGC
rnacentral:lncRNA from 1 species